rnacentral:rRNA from 1 species
GAUGAACGCUGGCGGCGUGCCUAAUACAUGCAAGUCGAGCGAAUGGAUUAAGAGCUUGCUCUUAUGAAGUUAGCGGCGGACGGGUGAGUAACACGUGGGUAACCUGCCCAUAAGACUGGGAUAACUCCGGGAAACCGGGGCUAAUACCGGAUAACAUCUUGAACCGCAUGGUUCGAAAUUGAAAGGCGGCUUCGGCUGUCACUUAUGGAUGGACCCGCGUCGCAUUAGCUAGUUGGGGAGGUAACGGCUCACCAAGGCAACGAUGCGUAGCCGACCUGAGAGGGUGAUCGGCCACACUGGGACUGAGACACGGCCCAGACUCCUACGGGAGGCAGCAGUAGGGAAUCUUCCGAAAUGGACGAAAGUCUGACGGAGCAACGCCGCGUGGGUGAUGAAGGCUUUCGGGUCGUAGAACUCUGUUGUUAGGGAAGAACAAGUGCUAGUUGAAUAAGCUGGCACCUUGACGGUACCUAACCAGAAAGCCACGGCUAACUACGUGCCAGCCGCCGCAGUAA